GCCCAGGUGGCGGAAUUGGUAGACGCGCUAGCUUGAGGGGCUAGUGACCGCAUUUUUGGUCGUGGAGGUUCAAGUCCUCUCCUGGGCACCA
rnacentral:tRNA from 1 species